AGGCUCGCGGCGCAGCUUUGAUUCUCGGUAGUCAAUGGACACGUUGCAACCGCGAUUUUGACGGGGCCCCAGUUUUGAACGUCGCGUCGGCUGAACGUGGUUUUCUCGGCACAAAUCGACUUCAAAUAUAUUGGUCGGCAGGUGCCUCGAGUUGGUGAGUAACACGUCCAACAGAGUUUUUUGACCGUCUACUGACAAAAGGAUGGAGCGACGGAACUUUGUGAGGAUUUUUCUUUGCCGUUUGGUCACUUGUACGAAUUGUUCCUAUACUGAUCUGUAGUCGGACACGGAAACGAUAUUUUGAAGUAGGUCUUAUAAUGAAACGUGGUCGUGGAGAGAAGAAAUUUGAGGUUCGCGUGUACAGAUACCGCGAGAGCUGCCACAUAGAACCACGCCCCUUUCUGUUGUGCGACCCGGAUUAGAAUCCUCGCUGCGAUCGGCAGUAGGUAACUCCUACCUGUUCUGUUGGUUAGUCUAGUCUACAAGAUUGAAGUCCGGACUAUCGAAAGGAUCAUGUCUGGGUAAAACCUGUAGAACAAAACCACAACACAUCCACAUCGUCACCUCUGGUGGGGACCGCAACAAUUACCGAAGCUAUAGCUUCUUC